UUUCCGUAGGUGAACCUGCGGAAGGAUCAUUAUUGUAUAACCGAGGUGCGAGGGCUGUCGCUGACCCGAAAGGUCGUGCACGCCCGAGUGCCCUCACACACAUCCAUCUCACCCCUAUGUGCACCACCGCGUGGGUCCCCCUUUGGCUUGUUCGGAGGGGGGCUUACGUUUUCACACAAACUUUGUAUGCAGUGUAGAAUGUAUUUUUUGUUUUUGCGAUCACGCAAUCAAUACAACUUUCAACAACGGAUCUCUUGGCUCUCGCAUCGAUAAGAAGCAGC
rnacentral:misc_RNA from 1 species